rnacentral:rRNA from 1 species
UACGUAGGGUGCGAGCGUUAAUCGGAAUUACUGGGCGUAAAGCGUGCGCAGGCGGUAAGUUAAGUCUGAUGUGAAAGCCCCGGGCUCAACCUGGGAAUGGCAUUGGAAACUGGCUUGCUAGAGUGUGGCAGAGGGGGGUGGAAUUCCGCGUGUAGCAGUGAAAUGCGUAGAGAUGCGGAGGAACACCGGUGGCGAAGGCGGCGUCCUGGACCAAUACUGACACUGAUGAGCGAAAGCCAGGGGAGCAAACGGG